GGAGAUGAGACUGAAAUUGAAUUAAAGACGCCACUGCCAAUCCCAGACUUCAAUGGACAAUUAGAAACGAAACGAUUGGGUGCACAUAGAAUAGAAAUUAAUAUUCCUCUCAAUACGAGUAGUUUAGCAAAUUCAACCAAGAACAGAGGUUACUAUGUGGUCGUACGUGAACUCCAAAGUGAAAAUGUUUCUGAUGACAAAAAAAAUUAUCGGGAUCAAUAUCAAUCUAGAUACAAAAAGAUAUUUGAAGAGGCCAAAGUUGAUAAUAAAUCUAAUGUUGUUGCAUGGAUAGCAAAACAAAUAAAUAUUACAGGAAAUACAAGGAUAGAUCAUAA